rnacentral:rRNA from 1 species
UACGUAGGGGGCAAGCGUUAUCCGGAAUUACUGGGUGUAAAGGGAGCGUAGACGGUAAUGUAAGUCUGGAAUGAAAGGCGGGGGCCCAACCCCCGGACUGCUCUGGAAACUAUGUUACUAGAGUGCAGGAGAGGUAAGCGGAAUUCCUAGUGUAGCGGUGAAAUGCGUAGAUAUUAGGAGGAACACCAGUGGCGAAAGCGGCUCUCUGGUCUGUAACUGACGCUGAGGUUCGAAAGCGUGGGUAGCAAACAGG